AACACUGCCCCUACACCUCUCACUUGAGUGUUGGAGGGGGCUCUCAGGCACCAACCCAAGAGCACUUCUGGCAGGUCCUGGAGCAGCGGUUAGACUCGAAGGACCCGAGGACCCUUCAUGAUGGUUCCCCUGCAAGAAGCUCAGGUUUUGCGACUGCUGGUGGUACCAAGUACGUAUGCAGAAGAAGCCGUUGAUGGAAAAGGUGCAUUGUAAUUCCGAUGUAUGGAUAUGUGGAUUUAUAAUAACCUCAAUUCUAGUUGAUUAUGAGAGUAGUAAUAACGUUGCGGAACUUGACUAAUCAAUGUCUACAAAGAAAAUUCUGGAAUAUAUACUAUAAAGAAAUAUAGGAAAAGGAAAAAGGUGGUGGUCCAGAUUGAUUUUCGUUA